rnacentral:rRNA from 1 species
UUUCCGGUUGAUCCUGCCGGAGGUCAUUGCUAUCGGAGUCCGAUUUAGCCAUGCUAGUCGCGCGGGCUCAGACCCGCGGCCAACAGCUCAGUACCACGUGGUCGAACUACCCUCUGGAGACGGACACCCUCGGGAAACUGAGGCCAACCCGUCAUACGACACCCACGCUUGAACGCCGGGUGUCCGAAACGCUCCGGCGCCACAGGAUGUGACUGCGGCCGAUUAGGUCGACGGUGGGGUAACGGCCCACCGUGCCAGUAAUCGGUCCGGGUUGUGAGAGCAAGAACCCGGAGACGGAAUCUGAGACAAGAUUCCGGGCCCUACGGGGCGCAGCAGGCGCGAAACCUUGACACUGCACGACAGUGCGAUUAGGGGACUCCGAAUGCGAGGGCAUACCGUCCUCGCUUUCCUACACGGUACAAACGUGUCGAAACAAGGGCUGGGCAAGACCGGUGCCAGCCGCCGCGGUAAUACCGGCAGCCCGAGUGAUGACCGAUCUUAUUGGGCCUAAAGCGUCCGUAGCCUGCCGUACGGGUCCGUCGGGAAAUCCGCCCGCUCAACGGGCGGACGUCCGGCGGAAACCAUACGGCUUGGGACCAGAGGACCCGAGGGGUACGUCGGGGGUAGGAGUGAAAUCCCGAGAUCCUCGACGGACCGCCGGUGGCGAAAGCGCCUCGGGAAGAUGGAUCCGACGGUCAGGGACGAAAGCUUGGGUCUCGAACCGGAUUAGAUACCCGGGUAGUCCAAGCUGUAAACGAUGCUCGCUAGGUGUGGCGUAGGCUACGAGCCUGCGCUGUGCCAAAGGGAAGCCACGAAGCGAGCCGCCUGGGAAGUACGUCUGCAAGGAUGAAACUUAAAGGAAUUGGCGGGGGAGCACUACAACCGGAGGAGCCUGCGGUUUAAUUGGAUUCAACGCCGGAA